rnacentral:rRNA from 1 species
GACGAACGCUGGCGGCGUGCUUAACACAUGCAAGUCGAACGGUAAGGCUCCAGCUUGCUGGGGUACACGAGUGGCGAACGGGUGAGUAACACGUGGGUGACCUGCCCUGCACUUCGGGAUAAGCCUGGGAAACUGGGUCUAAUACCGGAUAGGACCGCACCGUGAGGGUGUGGUGGAAAGUUUUUUCGGUGUGGGAUGGGCCCGCGGCCUAUCAGCUUGUUGGUGGGGUAAUGGCCUACCAAGGCGGCGACGGGUAGCCGGCCUGAGAGGGUGGACGGCCACAUUGGGACUGAGACACGGCCCAGACUCCUACGGGAGGCAGCAGUGGGGAAUAUUGCACAAUGGGCGGAAGCCUGAUGCAACGACGCCGCGUGGGGGAUGACGGCCUUCGGGUUGUAAACUCCUUUCACCAUCGACGAACGGUUUCUGACUGUAGAUGGAGAAGAAGCACCGGCUAACUACGUGCCAUCAGCCGCGGUAAUACCUAGGGUGCGAGCGUUGUCCGGAAUUACUGGGCGUAAAGAGCUCGUAGGUGGUUUGUCGCGUCGUCUGUGAAAUUCCGGGGCUUAACUCCGGGCGUGCAGGCGAUACGGGCAUAACUUGAGUACUGUAGGGGAGACUGGAAUUCCUGGUGUAGCGGUGAAAUGCGCAGAUAUCAGGAGGAACACCGGUGGCGAAGGCGGGUCUCUGGGCAGUAACUGACGCUGAGGAGCGAAAGCAUGGGGAGCGAACAGGAUUAGAUACCCUGGUAGUCCAUGCCGUAAACGGUGGGCGCUAGGUGUGGGUUUCCUUCCACGGGAUCCGUGCCGUAGCUAACGCAUUAAGCGCCCCGCCUGGGGAGUACGGCCGCAAGGCUAAAACUCAAAGGAAUUGACGGGGGCCCGCACAAGCGGCGGAGCAUGUGGAUUAAUUCGAUGCAACGCGAAGAACCUUACCUGGGCUUGACAUAUACAGGAUCGCGCCAGAGAUGGUGUUUCCCUUGUGGCUUGUAUACAGGUGGUGCAUGGUUGUCGUCAGCUCGUGUCGUGAGAUGUUGGGUUAAGUCCCGCAACGAGCGCAACCCUUGUCUUAUGUUGCCAGCACGUUGUGGUGGGGACUCGUAAGAAACUGCCGGGGUUAACUCGGAGGAAGGUGGGGAUGACGUCAAAUCAUCAUGCCCCUUAUGCCCAGGGCUUCACACAUGCUACAAUGGUCGGUACAGUGGGUUGCCAGUCCGUGAGGGCGAGCUAAUCCCGCAAAGCCGGUCUCAGUUCGGAUCGGGGUCUGCAACUCGACCCCGUGAAGUCGGAGUCGCUAGUAAUCGCAGAUCAGCAACGCUGCGGUGAAUACGAUCCCGGGCCU